UUUUCCUUCUCCAUUUGCAACUUUUCAGCAGUAAGGACAGCAGUCCCCUUACAUCUGACCCCUACAAGAUUGAAUGGAUCCUACUGCUGGUGAUGACCCACAGGGCAGUACAUCCAAGGAGUUUGUCAAUAGGACAGGAAGCCACCAACUUCAGUCCUAAUCUGACAGGGAGAGUGCAAGCAGAGGAGGAGCAGAGAGGGAGGACCCGAAGCAGGCUCUGCGCUGUUAGCAUUCAGAGCCCAAUGUGGGGUUCGUGAGACCGUGACCUGAGCCAAAGUGAGGCACUUAACCAACUGACCUGCCCUGGUGCCCCUGUUGGUUCUAUUAAUUAUGCUCUGGUAUACCGUCAUCUGUUCACUCUGAUGAAGUCAGAUGCUCUACAGAGAGGGUUACGUGGCAAGGAAGUGAAGGCCUCCAGCCAACAGCUCGGAAGGACCUGAUGCUUUGGUCCAACAACCCAUGAGAAACCGAAUCCUGCAGCAACCACACAGGUUUGCUGGGAAGUAGCUCCUAACCAGAUGAGCCUGAAGAUGACUGCAGCCUGUGACAGCUGAGACAUGCCUGGCUUCCUGGCCCACAAAAGUUAUGAGGUUAUAAUAAAGGGUUUUUUAAGCCAUUAAGUGUC